rnacentral:rRNA from 1 species
UACAGAGGGUGCAAGCGUUAAUCGGAAUUACUGGGCGUAAAGCGUGCGUAGACGGUCAUGUAAGUCGGGUGUGAAAGCCCCGGGCUCAACCUGGGAAUUGCAUUCGAGACUGCAUGGCUAGGAUGCGGAAGAGGGAAGCGGAAUUUCCGGUGUAGCGGUGAAAUGCGUAGAUAUCGGAAGGAACACCAGUGGCGAAAGCGGUUCUCUGGGCAUUACCUGACGCUGAGGAGCGAAAGCGUGGGGAGCAAACAGG